rnacentral:rRNA from 1 species
GGACUACUGGGGUUUCUAAUCCUGUUCGCUCCCCACGCUUUCGCUCCUCAGCGUCAGUUCCGGCCCAGACCACCGCCUUCGCUACUGGUGUUCCUCCUGAUAUCUGCGCAUUUCACCGCUACACCAGGAAUUCCAUGGUCCCCUACCGGACUCGAGUCAUCGCAGUAUCAAGUGGCAGCCCCAGGUUGAGCCUGGGGAUUUCACACCUGACUUACGAAACCGCCUACGAGCUCUUUACGCCCAAUAAAUCCGGACAACGCUUGCACCCUACGUAUUACCGCGGCUGCUGGCAC